GGCGAGUGAAGCGGCAAAAGCUCAAAUUUGAAAUCUGGCUCUUUCAGAGUCCGAGUUGUAAUUUGAAGAAGGUAUCUUUGGGCCUGGCUCUUGUCUAUGUUUCUUGGAACAGAACGUCACAGAGGGUGAGAAUCCCGUGCGAUGAGAUGACCCAGGUCCGUGUAAAGUUCCUUCGACGAGUCGAGUUGUUUGGGAAUGCAGCUCUAAGUGGGUGGUAAAUUCCAUCUAAAGCUAAAUAUUGGCGAGAGACCGAUAGCGAACAAGUACAGUGAUGGAAAGAUGAAAAGAACUUUGAAAAGAGAGUGAAAAAGUACGUGAAAUUGUUGAAAGGGAAGGGCUUGAGAUCAGACUUGGCAUUUUGCAUGUUGCUUCUUCGGGGGCGGCCUCUGCGGUUUGUCGGGCCAGCAUCAGUUUGGGCGGCAGGACAAUCGCGCGGGAAUGUGGCACGGCCUCGGCUGUGUGUUAUAGCCCGCGUGGAUACUGCCAGCCUAGACUGAGGACUGC
rnacentral:rRNA from 1 species